UACCCGAAUGGGGAAACCCAGUGUGAUUCGUCACACUAUCAUUAACUGAAUCCAUAGGUUAAUGAGGCGAACCGGGGGAACUGAAACAUCUAAGUACCCCGAGGAAAAGAAAUCAACCGAGAUUCCCCCAGUAGCGGCGAGCGAACGGGGAGGAGCCCAGAGCCUGAAUCAGCAUGUGUGUUAGUGGAAGCGUCUGGAAAGGCGCGCGAUACAGGGUGACAGCCCCGUACACAAAAGCGCAUGUGCUGUGAGCUCGAUGAGUAGGGCGGGACACGUGGUAUCCUGUCUGAAUAUGGGGGGACCAUCCUCCAAGGCUAAAUACUCCUGACUGACCGAUAGUGAACCAGUACCGUGAGGGAAAGGCGAAAAGAACCCCGGCGAGGGGAGUGAAAAAGAACCUGAAACCGUGUACGUACAAGCAGUGGGAGCCC
rnacentral:rRNA from 1 species